UACAGAGGUCUCAAGCGUUGUUCGGAUUCAUUGGGCGUAAAGCGCGCGUAGGCGGCCAGAUAAGUCCGGUGUGAAAGUCACAGGCUCAACCUGUGAAUGCCGCUGGAAACUGUCUGGCUUGAGUCCGGAAGGGGCGAGUGGAAUUCCUGGUGUAGCGGUGAAAUGCGCAGAUAUCAGGAGGAACACCAAUGGCGAAGGCAGCUCGCUGGAACGGUACUGACGCUGAGGCGCGAAAGCGUGGGGAGCGAACAGG
rnacentral:rRNA from 1 species